AAUUUAUGAUUAUCUCUGUUUGUAUAAGAGUGUUGUAGGUUGAUAAUAAGAUGUUAACAGUCUCAUACUCGGAAUAUGUGGUAGAUUUGGGAGCGUGUUUUUUUUGUUGUGCCUAUUUUCUUUCGCCUAAAAAUAUCACGACCUUUUAUUAAUAAGUUAUGUGAAAGGGCAUGUAGGUUUUUCAUUAGUGUACGUCUAUACAAAUUAUGUGUUUCGAAUGAAGCCUUAGGUGUCACACAGAAGAGAACUUCAUUCCAUAUCGUUGUAAUCCGGCAAGUGUUGAACGCGGAAUUUCCAUGCUUUGUGGCAUGUAAUAUUUGGCGCCGGCCGUACACCUGCAAUAGUCAUAUGUGCAAUUCAGGCCCAGAAAUAUACUUACCCAUAUGUACAUGAACCUCAAAAAUCUUAUUUUAUCUUUUUAUUUUGAGAAAAAGUUCGUACAUAUCUAGUAAGUAGUGGGGCAAGUUCUUACUGAAGUGUUUUAUUUCUUUCCAAUACCGGGUCUCGCUGUGUACGACAUUGACUAAAUUUGGAAGUUUAAUUAUGUACAAUACUCGAUCGAGGGAUUGAGGUUGCUGUUUUGUGGGGAAUACACAUACACACCAACAUCGUUUUAUAACCUCAAUUUUGUAGCAGUCGGUGAUUGCCUCCAGUAAAUAGUAUAAUGCCAUCAGGCUGAUAACUCUCCAGUACAAGAAACCUGUCAUGGAAACAGGCUUCCUGAACUUUCAUGAUGAAGAACACUUCUCCACCGUACCAUCAAUGCUUUAUGAUCAGGAUGCCUUGGAAGAUUCUGAAGGCACUUUACUGGACAUGAUGCACGCUGAGUUUUCAUCAUACGAGAUUGCC